GGCGCUAGGAGAGCGCGUUACUUCCCCUUGUUGUCAUGGCGACUUUUUAUGUUUUGAUUUAGCUGGCUAAUAGUUGAUGUUUUAAUGUUUGUAUAUUAAUUGUAUUUUUGUUCUUUAUUAUACAGUGAGAGUGUCAGAGAAAGAGAAAAUGAGAUUGUGUGUGAGUGAGCGCUCGCUGGAUAGAUUUCUCUCACUGAUCCUGUUUGCUAUUGUGCUGCUGUCCUGGGGCUUUGUGAUCUACGGAGCUCGUGUGGCUGCGCAGUGGCAGCUGGAGAGAAGAUCCAACGUGCAGAUGUGAAGAACAAUGAAGCACGAUGGAGAAAAACUGGGAAUACUGGAGCGUCAAAGUGCCGUGUGCUCUCAUUUACAAUCAGGCUCAUGGAAACAUUUAUCACGGAUAUCUGUAAAAUCAUUGUCAGGUGGAGCAUCAGCUGGAGUGACCCUCUCGUCUGGUGAACACCAGUAUGAACCUUCUCAGUCCAGUGUGCUCAUAAUGAUAGUUGAUCCUGGAUUUCAUCUCAGGAGCACAAUGCUGAGUGGAAAUGCUCCUGCCAGACUCCCGUCUAAUAAAGAGAUCAUGAAGAACAUGAGAUCAGGAUGCACGUAAACAGGAUCAUUCAUGAUAAAUAUCGUGAUAUGUUGUGUGAUUUCAAUGAGCUGUUAAAUAAAUCGUUCUGAACUGCGA